CACAAACGUAUUUGCAAAGUGCAACAGCCAAUCACUGGGUGGGAUUUAUGAUUACCUCAUCAAUCUGAAGCUUUAUUUAAGGGGCAGAACUUAGUCAACAACUAUCAGAUGCAACCAGUAUCUCGGAGGCUUCUCUGGAUUUUAUUCCGAUCACAAGCACCUGAAACUGAGAACAGGAUGAAGAGGCAGAUGAAAUGGCUGUGGCCUGUGGUGAUGCUUGCAAUCCUGAGCGAACUUCUCUGGACCGCUUCUGCACAAGGGGCUGACAAUGUCACAGCAAAGGCUGUUACAAAGCAAACUCAAGCCUCAGCUCAGUCACACAGCAGCGUUCUUACGCCUGCUCUCUCUCUCAUUUCGAUUGCUUCAUCUUUAUGCAUUUUCUUUGUCUCUCAACGUAAGUUUUAAAAGAGCCUGUUUAUUAGAGGAAUUGUAAAUCAAAGUCAGGAAAAAUUAAUCUGUCUCAAUCUGACAAAUCUUGUCCUUCUGAUGUGUGCGUGUUGCUUUGUUAGCAAAUCCACAACAACAACGUGUGAUUUUUAAAUUUUAAUAUUUUAAAUGAAUUUUCCCAGUGUGAUGGUAAAUGGAGACAGUAGGCUAAAUUAUUGUUAUUAAUUGUUGAAACGAAUGGAACAUCUUUAAAUAUAAUGAUGGAAAAUUGCUGCAUUAAGUAGGCUUUAUCUAGAGGAAAGCUGAUUUGACCAGAACCUGGGCUACAGAAUCAAAAGCCGCAUCGACAAAACUGAAAGAUCUGUGUCAUGGAUGGACUAUUUUGAAAAACAGUAGAAGGACUCAAUCAAGGCUUUUAUGUAGCGCGUCUUACAUUAAACGAAAUCUGAUAUUAAAAAAAAAACUGCUUACAAA